rnacentral:rRNA from 1 species
CUGAUGCAGCAACGCCGCGUGGGGGAUGAAGGCCUUCGGAUUGUAAACUCCUGUCGCCCGGGACGAAUGGCUCCGACCUAACACGUCAGAGUCUGGCGGUACCCGGUGAGGAAGCCCCGGGUAACUCUGUGCCAGCAGCGUCGGUAAUACAUAGGGGGCGAGCGUUGUUCGCAAUUACUGGGCGUAAAGGGCGCGUAAGCGGCCUGCUAAAACCCAACGUGAAAUCCCCGGGCUCAACCCGGGUACUGCGUCCGAUACUGGGGGGCUUGAAUCCGGGAGAGGGAUGAUGGAUUCCAGGUGUAGCGGUGAAAUGCGUAGAUAUCUGGAGGAACACCCGUGGCGAAAGCGGCAUCCUGGACCGGUAUUGACGCUAAGGCGCUAAAACCCCUGGGAGCGAACGGGAUUGUAAUACCCCGGUAUUCCUGGCCCUAAACAAUGAACGCUUGGUGUGGGGGG